AGGAUGAACGCUGGCGGUAUGCUUAACACAUGCAAGUCGAACGAGUGGCGGACGGGUGAGUAACGCGUGAGAAUCUAGCUUCGGUUCGGGACAACCACUGGAAGCGGUGGCUAAUACCGGAUGGGAUGAGCUCGCGUCUGAUUAGCUAGUUGGUGGGGUAAGAGCUUACCAAGGCGACGAUCAGUAGCUGGUCUGAGAGGAUGAUCAGCCACACUGGGACUGAGACACGGCCCAGACUCCUACGGGAGGCAGCAGUGGGGAAUUUUCCGCAAUGGGCGAAAGCCUGACGGAGCAAUACCGCGUGAGGGAGGAAGGCUCUUGGGUUGUAAACCUCUUUUCUCAGGGAUGACGGUACCUGAGGAAUCAGCAUCGGCUAACUCCGUGCCAGCAGCCGCGGUAAUACGGAGGAUGCAAGCGUUAUCCGGAAUGAUUGGGCGUAAAGCGUCCGCAGGUGGCAGUGUAAGUCUGCUGUUAAAGAGUCUGGCUCAACCAGAUAAAGGCAGUGGAAACUACACAGCUAGAGUGCGGUAGGGGCAGAGGGAAUUCCUGGUGUAGCGGUGAAAUGCGUAGAGAUCAGGAAGAACAUCGGUGGCGAAGGCGCUCUGCUAGGCCGCAACUGACACUGAGGGACGAAAGCUAGGGGAGCGAAUGGGAUUAGAUACCCCAGUAGUCCUAGCCGUAAACGAUGGAUACUAGGCGUUGGUGCCGUAGCUAACGCGUUAAGUAUCCCGCC
rnacentral:rRNA from 1 species